rnacentral:rRNA from 1 species
GUGCCAUGGCUACAGCGAUACCGUGCGAGUCGAGCGGUGAAGGAAGCUUGCUUCCUGGAUCAGUGGCGAACGGGUGAGUAACACGUGAGCAAUCUGCCCCAGACUCUGGGAUAACAGCUGGAAACAGCUGCUAAUACCGGAUACGAGACGUGAAGGCAUCUUCAACGUCUGGAAAGAAUUUCGGUCUGGGAUGAGCUCGCGGCCUAUCAGCUAGUUGGUGAGGUAACGGCUCACCAAGGCGUCGACGGGUAGCCGGCCUGAGAGGGUGACCGGCCACACUGGGACUGAGACACGGCCCAGACUCCUACGGGAGGCAGCAGUGGGGAAUAUUGCACAAUGGGCGAAAGCCUGAUGCAGCAACGCCGCGUGAGGGACGACGGCCUUCGGGUUGUAAACCUCUUUUAGCAGGGAAGAAGCGAAAGUGACGGUACCUGCAGAAAAAGCACCGGGCUAACUACGUGCCAGCAGCCGCGGUAAUACGUAGGGUGCAAGCGUUAUCCGGAAUUAUUGGGCGUAAAGAGCUCGUAGGCGGUUUGUCGCGUCUGCUGUGAAAACCCGAGGCUCAACCUCGGGCCUGCAGUGGGUACGGGCAGACUAGAGUGCGGUAGGGGAGAUUGGAAUUCCUGGUGUAGCGGUGGAAUGCGCAGAUAUCAGGAGGAACACCGAUGGCGAAGGCAGAUCUCUGGGCCGUAACUGACGCUGAGGAGCGAAAGGGUGGGGAGCAAACAGGCUUAGAUACCCUGGUAGUCCACCCCGUAAACGUUGGGAACUAGUUGUGGGGUCCAUUCCACGGAUUCCGUGACGCAGCUAACGCAUUAAGUUCCCCGCCUGGGGAGUACGGCCGCAAGGCUAAAACUCAAAGGAAUUGACGGGGACCCGCACAAGCGGCGGAGCAUGCGGAUUAAUUCGAUGCAACGCGAAGAACCUUACCAAGGCUUGACAUAUAGAGGAAACGGCUGGGAAACAGUCGCCCCGCAAGGUCUCUAUACAGGUGGUGCAUGGUUGUCGUCAGCUCGUGUCGUGAGAUGUUGGGUUAAGUCCCGCAACGAGCGCAACCCUCGUUCUAUGUUGCCAGCACGUAAUGGUGGGAACUCAUGGGAUACUGCCGGGGUCAACUCGGAGGAAGGUGGGGAUGACGUCAAAUCAUCAUGCCCCUUAUGUCUUGGGCUUCACGCAUGCUACAAUGGCCGGUACAAAGGGCUGCAAUACCGUAAGGUGGAGCGAAUCCCAAAAAGCCGGUCCCAGUUCGGAUUGAGGUCUGCAACUCGACCUCAUGAAGUCGGAGUCGCUAGUAAUCGCAGAUCAGCAACGCUGCGGUGAAUACGUUCCCGGGUCUUGUACACACCGCCCGUCAAGUCAUGAAAGUCGGUAACACCUGAAGCUCGGUGGCCCAACCCUUGGGACAGAGCCGUCGAAUAGUAGAUCCCACACCCUCG